rnacentral:sRNA from 1 species
UCGCGUCGAGAUACCGGCUGGGGUCGUCACCAAACUCGCCAAGGACCCGGGCGGCAAGGAUCACACCGAGGCCGGGCAGG